rnacentral:rRNA from 1 species
GACGUAGGGCGCAAGCGUUUGUCCGGAUUUAUUGGGCGUAAAGAGCUCGUAGGCGGCUUGUCGCGUCGACUGUGAAAACCCGCAGCUUAACUGCGGACUGCAGUCGAUACGGGCAGGCUAGAGUUCGGUAGGGGAGACUGGAAUUCCUGGUGUAGCGGUGAAAUGCGCAGAUAUCAGGAGGAACACCGGUGGCGAAGGCGGGUCUCUGGGCCGAUACUGACGCUGAGGAGCGAAAGCGUGGGGAGCGAAGCAG